rnacentral:misc_RNA from 1 species
AGCAGCCGCGGUAAUUCCAGCUCCAAUAGCGUAUAUUAAAGUUGUUGCAGUUAAAAGCUCGUAGUUGAAUUUCGGGAUUGACGUAAUGGUCGUGCCUUACGGGGUAUGAACUGUUGCUGUUGAUUUCUCACCUUCUGGAGAAACUUGAUGUCCUUAAUUGGGUGUCUUGCGGAUCCAGGACCUUUACCUUGAAAAAUUAGAGUGUUUAAAGCAGGCAUUUUUGCUCGAAUACAUUAGCAUGGACUAAUAGAAUAGGACGGCAUGGUUCUAUUUUGUUGGUUUCUAGGAUCACCGUAAUGAUUAAUAGGGAUAGUUGGGGGCAUUAGUAUUCAAUUGUCAGAGGUGAAAUUCUUGGAUUUAUUGAAGACUAACUACUGCGAAAGCAUUUGCCAAGGAUGUUUUCAUUAAUCAAGAACGAAAGUUAGGGAUCGAAGACGAUCAGAUACCGUCGUAGUCUUAACCAUAAACUAUGCCGACUAGGAAUCAGACGAUGUUAAUUUUUAAUGUACUUCGUUUGGCU